GAGUCACCGUUCUUGACAUACGGCCGUCUGUGGGGUUGGAGCUGCCCUGGGUUCCAGCUCGUGCGCCAGCGGCCCACACGUCCACACAUCAGGCUUUUUAUUGUUCCUUCCACUGGGGAGGAGCUUAAAUCUUCAGACAACUCUGGACCAAAGUUUGUGAUACACCACGGCAGGGACCUUGGUACGCUCUGAAGUUGACCCCAAGAUAUGUUGGUGAUGUCACCAAAACCAUUCCCUUUCAUGAUGUAUGCAGAACGGGACCAACAGGAAGUGUCAAAGUAAUGAAUGUGCUGUGCAUUCUGCUUCACAAAACCACAGUCAGAAUACAGAUAAUUAUUUGUUUAUUACUAAAACUCUUUAUCAGACUUCAUUGUUUUGUUUUUUUUGUUUGUUUGUUUUUUUUCUUUGACAGUUAAUUAAAAAAUUCUGAGGUUUAACUUUA